ACACACAUCACAUCACAUUGAAUGCACUGGUUCUUGUCUGAUCACUGAAGUUAAGCAAUGUUGAACCUAGAUGGGUGAUCGCUUAGGAAACCUAGGCGCUGUAAGCA
rnacentral:rRNA from 1 species